GGAAUUUUGGACAAUGGGGGCAACCCUGAUCCAGCCAUGCCGCGUGAGUGAAGAAGGCCUUCGGGUUGUAAAGCUCUUUCGGACAGAAAGAAAUCGUGCGGGUUAAUACCCUGUAUGGAUGACGGUACUGUAAGAAGAAGCACCGGCUAACUACGUGCCAGCAGCCGCGGUAAUACGUAGGUGGCAAGCGUUGUCCGGAUUUAUUGGGUUUAAAGGGUGCGUAGGCGGCCCUGUAAGUCAGUGCUGAAAUAUCCCGGCUUAACCGGGAGGGUGGCAUUGAUACUGCAGGGCUUGAGUGAAGUCGAGGUAGGCGGAAUUGACGGUGUAGCGGUGAAAUGCUUAGAUAUCGUCAAGAACACCGAUAGUGAAGACAGCUUACUAGACUUCAACUGACGCUGAGGCACGAAAGUGUGGGGAUCAAAC
rnacentral:rRNA from 1 species